rnacentral:rRNA from 1 species
ACUCAAAGGAAUAGACGGGGGCCCGCACAAGCGGUGGAGCAUGUGGUUCAAUUCGACGCAACGCGAAGAACCUUACCUGGGCUCGAAAUGUAGGAGACAGGGGUAGAAAUAUCCCUUUCCGCAAGGACUGCUAUAUAGGUGCUGCAUGGCUGUCGUCAGCUCGUGUCGUGAGAUGUUGGGUUAAGUCCCGCAACGAGCGCAACCCUUAUCUCUAGUUGCCAUCGGGUCAAGCCGGGCACUCUAGCGAAACCGCUUCGGAUAACGGAGAGGAAGGUGGGGAUGACGUCAAGUCCUCAUGGCCUUUAUGUCCAGGGCUACACACGUGCUACAAUGCGCGGUACAAAACGUCGCAAACCCGUGAGGGGGAGCUAAUCGGAAAAAGCCGUGCUCAGUUCGGAUUGGAGUCUGCAAUUCGACUCCAUGAAGCUGGAAUCGCUAGUAAUCGCGGAUCAGAACGCCGCGGUGAAUACGUUCCCGGGCCUUGUACACACCGCCCGU